UUAAGCUUUAGGAAGCUUUAAGUCCCUGCAGAACAGAAGCAGACUGAAGGAGAGUUAGAGACACAACACGUAACACAUCUGUCUAACGACCCAUAACUACCAGGAGUCAAGUUUCUUCACUGUCCUCCUGCGUCCAGCCAUGUUGCCACACAUCACAUCCCCCCUCCCAGUUGUUCUCUGGACACCUUGACGAUCUCCAUGGCACGGCCGCGGGGGCAGGAGCGGCUGGCUCACUGAUGACUGCGCAAUUCGUGUUUCUCUCCCUUUGUCUUCUCUGAAGCCUUUGCCCCUCUCGAACCACUGAGAGGCUUCUGAAUUCCUCUCUGGUGGCUGACGAAAUCGGAUGUCACUCCAUUCCCAAGGAUGGGUUGGGACUGCUUCAGCUGGAGCAAGACAUGCAGUACAAGCGUGACCCCCAAGUGAUUCAUGUGCUCUGGGCAUUCACAGGGAGGAGUCCCAGUUCCCAGCAUCUUCCUUACCAUCCAAUGUCAUCAUGUCACUUCCUGGAAAGUUCCAGUGCGCC